rnacentral:tRNA from 1 species
GCGGAUAUCGUAUAAGGGUAUUACCUCAGCCUUCCAAGCUGAUGAUGACAGUUCGAGUCUGUCUAUCCGCU